GGCUGGUCAAAGUGCAGUGGUGUUUACAACUAACUGAUCACAACCACUUACAGACUUAUUUGUUCCUUCUCUGCUCCUACUGCUUCCUUUGAUUAGCCUUAA
rnacentral:Y_RNA from 1 species